GGAAAAGGAGGGGCGUGGUAGGGGCGUAGGGCCAGUGGAUAUCCGGAUGCCCACAUUGGAUGUGGAUUCCUUUCCCCUGGUAAGGCAGUCCAGAAGAGGAGCAAUUGGCCAUGAUGGCUCUGAUGAGGCAACCGGGGGUACAAGUACGUCGACUAGACCACAUCCCCAAAGCGCCAACCACCGUCUCGCUUGGCAACAGCCACUGCCCCCGCCGCGACCGCGCCCGCCAUGACGAUGACGGCGACCAUAUCGUCGUGCACCCCCGUCCCUACGCUAUUGCCCGAGGAUCGGGCCAACCUCCUCUCCCUGCUCGCCGCCUUGGCCCGCCCGCUCAUUGACGUUGCCACUGGAGGAGGAGGAGGAGCAGAGCCUGCUGGUGCGCGCGAUGGAGCCGGAGAUAUUUCAGACUAAAGGGCUGCUUGAAUAAUGUUCUAAAAAUCUGGAGUAGUCUAAGGCUUUUACUGCUGCAGAAAAGCGGAGGGGUAGUAGGAGAAGUACCUGCUGAGGAUGUGCCCGAAAUGUACACGCAUAUCACAAUUCACUAUAGGGUGAUCUACACCACCUUAGUCAUUGCAUUUUAUCCUGUCCAGCACCUCCUCGCCCUCGGAACACUAUGAGCUUCUCUUCCAACCUUUUGAAUAUUUAACUCCUUUUUUAAUUUUAAGAUUAGAAGGUCUCUUACCAUUUCUCCAAAAAUUCCUAGCAAGUUGAUACGCUACUGAAUUAC